rnacentral:rRNA from 1 species
UACGAAGGGGGCUAGCGUUGCUCGGAAUUACUGGGCGUAAAGCGUGCGCAGGCGGCCUUCCAAGUCAGGGGUGAAAGCCCAGAGCUCAACUCUGGAAUUGCCUUUGAGACUGUGAGGCUUGAGUACGGGAGAGGUGAGUGGAAUUCCCAGUGUAGAGGUGAAAAUUCGUAGAUAUUGGGAAGAACACCGGUGGCGAAGGCGGCUCACUGGCCCGAAACUGACGCUCAUGCACGACAGCGUGGGGAUCAAACAGG